UACGUAGGGUGCGAGCGUUAAUCGGAAUUACUGGGCGUAAAGCGUGCGCAGGCGGUUCGUUGUGUCGGUGGUGAAAGCCCCGGGCUCAACCUGGGAAUGGCGAUGGAUACUGGCUCGCUAGAGUGCGGUAGAGGAGAGUGGAAUUCCCGGUGUAGCAGUGAAAUGCGUAGAGAUCGGGAGGAACAUCAGUUGCGAAGGCGGCUCUCUGGACCAGCACUGACACUGAGGCACGAAAGCGUGGGGAGCAAACAGG
rnacentral:rRNA from 1 species